rnacentral:rRNA from 1 species
UACGGGGGGGGCAAGCGUUGUUCGGAAUUACUGGGCGUAAAGGGCUCGUAGGCGGCCAACUAAGUCAGACGUGAAAUCCCUCGGCUCAACUGGGGAACUGCGUCUGAUACUGGAUGGCUUGAGUGUGGGAGAGGGAUGCGGAAUUCCAGGUGUAGCGGUGAAAUGCGUAGAUAUCUGGAGGAACACCGGUGGCGAAGGCGGCAUCCUGGACCACGACUGACGCUGAGGAGCGAAAGCCAGGGGAGCAAACGGG